GUCUGGAUCCUGAUUUUGAGUGUUCAUUUCCCAAAAAAUCUUAGGAAGAUAAACACUUUCUUGGUAACCUUUGAGUGUCAUGUUCCUUCUCUGAAGAGUGUAUUAGAUUCCAUGUGGUAUACCCAGUAGAUUGCAUUUUGAGUGUCAUUGAUGAUUAAUGGAUAGAGACUGCUUAGACCACUGUAUGGAGAAGGAUUCUGAAGUCAUGUCUGGGUGCAGUGGGAGAGUGUCAUGAUACAUUGAUUAUUACUUUUCAUAACCGAUUUACCUAAACCAAAUAAUACUAGUUUUUAAAUUCCUGGAUGUGAUACACAAUUUCCUUUAAAAAUAAAUUUAAUUAGAAGAAAUGAAUGGUUUUUUUUAAAUAAGGAAAACUAGAGUUUUUCAGGGGGAAUGUGGCUAUGGUGGAAACUUUGAACAUAGUAUGAGAAAGAAUGAAAUUCUGGCCGGGCGCGGUGGCUCACACCUGUAAUCUCAGCACUUUGGGAGGCCAGGGCAGGCGGAUCACGAGGUCAGGAGAUAGAGACCAUCCUGGCCAACAUGGUGAAACCCUGUCUCUACUAAAAAUACAAAAAUUAGCUGGGCCUGGUGGUUUGUGCCUGUAGUCCCAGCUACUCAGGAGGCUGAGGCAGGAGAAUCGCUUGAACCUGGGAGGUAGAGGUUGUAGUGAGGUCAGAUCAUGCCACUGCACUCCAGCCUGGCGACACAGUGAGACUCCGUCUCAAAAAACAAACAAAAAUGAAAAAAGCACAAAGAAUGAAAUUCUGGAAACACUAAGGAGAUGAAUGUUUACCUACCUGACAGAAUUGUUUUGGGAGUUUUAAUGCAGGUGGCAGCUUGCUGUGACUUCUAAAGGCAGUACAGAAGUAUCACAGUGUGGUUAAACUUCUUUUUUUGACCAGGAGGUAAACCUGAACUCAAAGUCUCCCAAAGCCCUCUCUGAACAAGAAAAUAGAAUAGUGGUCCAGAGUUUGGAUACUGAGGCUGGACUGUCUGGGUUUGAGCCCCCUCUCGCCUCUGUUCACAUAGUUAGCGAGUGAUAUAUGCAUUUAACUUCCCUGAGCCUCAGUUUCUCAUUUGUUAAAGGCAGUACCUCAUGGUGUUGGUAUCAGGAUUAAAAGACCAUUUCAGAGGAAGCUUCUAGAACAGCACGUGGUUCAGUAUAACACGGCGUCUACGGGUUGACAAUGAUAAUGAUGAUUGGAUAUUAAAAAAACCUGACUGGAUGCGUUGGCUCACGCCUGUAAUCCCAGCACUUUGGGAGACUAAGGUGGGCUGAUACCUGAGGUCGGGAGUUCGAGACCAGCCUGGCCAACAUGUUGAAACCCCAUCUCUACUAAAAACAGAAAAAUUAGCUGGGCGUGGUGGUGCACACCUUGUAAUCCCAGCUACUCAGGAGGCUGAGGCAUGAGAAUCGCUUGAACCUGGGAGGCGGAGGUUGCAGUGAGCCCGGAUUGUGCCACUUGCACUCCAGCCUGGGCCAUAGAGUGAGACUCCAUCUCAAAAAACAAAACCUUACACAAUUUAAUACAUUAAACAGGUUUGGACACUUUUUCCCCCCCUAAUUAAAAAUUUUUUUUUUUUCUUUAAGAGACAAGAGUCUUGCUCAGUUGUCCAGGCUGAGUGCAGUGGCAUGCUCCUAGCCUACUGCAGCCUCAAACUCCUGGGCUCAAGCAAUCCUUUCGCCUCAGCCUCCCGAGUAGCUAGGACUACAAGUGCAUGCCACUAGCCCAGGCUCCCCUCACUUAAAAAAAAUGGGUGCUUGGCCUUACAAAUUGCUGAGAUUACUCUGUCAUCUUACUAUUUUUAUAAAAGUUUCCUUUUUUUUUUUUAAAUUUUUAAGAGAGAAGUGAUUUCUGAGUGAAGGAAUAGCAAACCUUGACUGUGGUGAAUAUCUUAUUUCUCCUUUAGUGUCUAUAUGCCCGUUUUUAUGCUGCGUAUAUCUUAUUUAUCUGGCUUCCUAGGCAGUUUAGAAUAUGUAAAGCAUUUAUGCCACUGAAUGUUUUUUAGAAUUAUAGCAUCUUUAGUGAAUGACUGUACCUACGCUGAGCCAUUUUAUCAUGCUAUAAAUACCAAAAAACACUAGAAAUUAAAGAACAAGUUUAUUUCAUUUUUGUAUAUAAAUUCUAUUCCUUUUAUUUUUAACUUGGAUAAAGAGCUUUGUUUGUUUGUUUCUUAAUCACUUCUCUUUUCUUUGUAGUGAGUAAAGAGGAGAUAUCAAUUUGUGUGUAGAUAUUAGCAUUCUUAUAUAACAGACUCAGCCCUAGACACAUAAAACACCAGCACCUACUAGCUGGUGUUGAAAUGUGUGGCAAAGAGAAUAAUGAUUUUGAUUUACAAAUACUUACCUGUCAAGAAACACCACCACCACCCAAUCCCUUACUGUUUCUUUUCAGAAAUUAAUAAUUUAAAUUUUAAUAAGCACCAGGCUUAAUGCCUCAUCAAGUAUUUUUUUUCUUUAUUAUUUAUACAUGUUGGUGUAGCUAGCGUGUUGACUAGCACUGGUUAGCACACUAACAAAUAGAAACCAACACUAUACUCACCUUCUAGGUUCUAGGUUUAUAGUUAAUUAACCCAAGUUCUCCUGAAGACCAGAUUUCUUCUUGUCUUGGAAGGGGUUAGAAGGUAAUAGUCAUUUGAACAUAUGUCCACAAAAUCUUUUUUCAGAAACUGAGGUUUAAUUGUCCUCCUAUUGACUAUGAGCUAGACUUCAUGUCUCCUGAUGAACAUAAUAAGGUUGAAGUGAUAGUGACUUUAGAGACAAUAUCUCUAAAGAGACUUUCUGUCUUGGAUAACUUUGAGGAAAGCCACCUGCCAUGUUGUGAGGACACUCAAGCAGCCCUGUGGAGGGGCCUGUGUUGUGAGGAAUGGAGGCCUCCCACUGAUAGCCAUAUAAGUAAGCCUGGAAGUGGAUCCUCUAUCCCAGAUUAAAUAUUCAGCUGACUGCAGUGCAGCCAACACUUGACUGUAACCUCAUGAGAGAACCUGAGCCAGAAGCAAGCCAACUAAACUGCUCUUACAUCCAUGCCCCACAGAGCCUAUGAGAUGAUAAAUGUUUGUUGUUAGAAGCCAUUACGUUGUGGGAUAAUUUGUUACACAGUAAUAGAUCACUAAUGCACAAUAAUGGUGGGGGUCAGAUACACAGGAACAAACUGAAUCCAUAAGAAGAUGAUGGUCCUUGGCAUGCCCUUGGAAUGGGGUCCAAUGAUGUUGCAGAACUAGGUAAGGCCUUUCUAGGGGCAGAAAAGGGAAUGUUUUGGGGUUAGAUUUGGUACUUAGCAUCAACAAGGAAGAUCUGUUCCAGUAGCAUUUUAAAAAGGCCUCUCAACUAAGACUUAUUGAUGGUGAUGGUGCAUAUGUCUGUCGGUCUGCGGAAAUGCAGGUGAGCAAGGGAAUGCAGAACAGAUGCAGAGUAUACACAUAGGCGUCUGAUGCAGGUUCAAGUCGAGUAGCUUCCGAUAUGACUGUUUUCUUUAGUUUUCACAACCAUUGAAAAGAGCAGGCCAGGUAUGGUGGCUCACACCUGUAAUCUCAGCACUUUGGAAGGCUGAAGUGGGUGGAUCACUUGAGCACAGGAAUUUGAGACAAGCCUGGGCAACAUGGCGAAACUGUCUCUACCAAAAAUACAAGAAUCAGCUAGUCUCAUAACCCGGUCUCAAAAUAAAUAAAAAAUAAAAUUAAAAAUAAAAGAGCAAUGUCGUUGGCAUCCCAUUCAUGUUUGGGAAUGGAAUCUGACUUUGCCACUUGGAAGAUUGUAAUCUCCAUGAAGGUAGGGACAUGUCUGUAUUAUUUACUCCCAAAUGCCUGGUGUCACAGAACGUGGAAGGUUCUCAGUAGGUAUUUGUUGAAAUAAUAAAUGAAUAUCAUUGUAUAAUUUUGAGCAGAUGAUACAAUCUUUUUAAGCCUCAAUAUCCUGCUCUGUACAGUGGGGAUAAAUAACCCCUAACUUGCAAUGUUAUUGUAAGGCUUGGAGAUAGUGUAUUCAAAGCAGUAGUCCCCAGCCUUUUUGGCAUCAGGGACCAGUUUUGUGGAAGACAAUUUUUCCAUGGACCGGGGGUUGGGGGGAUGGUUUUGGGAUGAGUCAAGUGCAUUACAUUUAUUAUGCGCUAUAUUUCUAUUAUUACUAUAUUGCAAUAUAUAAUGAAAUAAUUAUACAGUUCACCAAACUGUAGAAUCAGUGGGAGCCCUGAGCUUGCUUUCCUGCAACUAAGCAGUCCCAUCUGAGGGUAAUGGGAGACAGUGACAGAUCAUCAGGCAUUAGAGCCUCAUAAGGAGCGGGCAACCUAGAUCCCUCACGUGCACAGCCCAUAAUAGAAUUUUUGCUCCUAUGAGAAUCUAAUGCUACCACUGAUCUGACAGGCGGCAGAGCUCAGGCAGUAAUGCUCUCUUGCCCUCCACUCACCUCCUGUUGUGCAGCUCGGUUCCUGACAGGGCACGGACUGGCUGUGGUCUGUGUCCUGGGGGUUGGGGACCCCUGAUUUAAAGCACUUACACAGUAGGCAGGCAUGUAUUUCUCAGAAUCCUCAGAAUCCAUUCUUGUUAUGAUGGUCAGAGAACGAAUGUGAAGUUUUGAUCAUGUACUUUCUGUUUUGGCAGAAUUAGCCUUGGUAAUUCAGUUCCUUAAGUUGUGAGUGAUGAAUUCAAGAAGUGAACUGUUGGAUUUUGUUCCACAUCUGGAUUGUAUUAAGUGGAUUAUUGCCAAGUUCCCACUCUACAUGCUCCUUGUAGUCAAGCUAGUGUCACGCCCCUCGCAUUUUUAAGAAGGUAACAUUACAGUUGUGAGUCAUAGUUACCCAGCAGGAAGCCACAUUCCUGGGACUCAACUGAUGGGGUGGCUGAGCCCAGAGCUCUUGGUCUGAUGGGCCAUCACUCCUUGUCUUAUAAUCCUCAGUCCAAGAGCAUGACAGAAUUAUUUCUUUCUGUCACUAAGAUUGUUGCAGUAAAGUAACCUAGUAUAAAUCUGGAUAUUCUGUAAAAACAAUUCACUUCUACCUUUGUGCUGUAAAUAAUUAUGAGCAUUACUUUUGGCAUUUAAAAAUGCAUUGUAAAGGCCUGGCGUGGUUCACACAUGUAAUCCCAGCACUUUGGGAAGCCAAGGCUGGUAGGUCACUUUGAGCCCAAGAGUUCCAGACCAGCCCAGGCAACAUGGUGAAAACCCCACCUCUACAGAAGAUACAAAAAUUAGUCAGGUGUGGUUGUACACGCCUGUAAUCCCAGCUACUAGGGAGGCUGGGGUGGGAGGCUCCCUUGAGCCUGGGAGGCGGAGGUUGCGGUGAGCCGAGAUCGCGCCAUUGCACUCCAGCCUGGGCGACAGAGCCAGAUCCUGUUUCAAAAUAAAUAAAUAAAUAAAAAUAAAAAAAAUAAAAAAGCAUUUAGGAAGAUAUUGAGUAGUAGGAAGUUUUUGUCUGAAGGGUUAUGUGAAAUUUAAGGAACUGGACAUCCCCUGUUUUGGUUCAGAAUUUUUCUUGGAACCACUAGCAGGUGGAGUUUUCUGAUAAAUCUUACUGUCUCUAUCAGUGUCACCCCUGUUUGAAUAGGAACCCUCACAAGAGGAUCCAUGUUUAUGUCAGAUUUUAUUCUGUCCCAUUUUGUGUAGCUGGGCUGUGAUUCAAGGUGAAAUUCUUAGGAAAGGAAAUCUUGUGUAGUAGGUAGGGGCUAAUCUUCACCACACAAGCUCCUGCCUUUCUGCCAUUCAGAAGUAGAGACCUAGAAGAGAUAAGAAAUGGGGAGCUAAGAAAUACAUUGCUGGCCUUCUGCAGUACUCGCCUAUCAGUAUUUUCACUGUCUCUUCCUGGAAGUAUCGUUUUAAAUCUAUUGCACAAAGUCAGACAAAUAGGUUUAUUUGAGUCAAUGAUUUUUUUAUAGCGAUAUGGCAAUGUUUUAUGGAGGCUCAGAGUUAUCUUGCAAGUCUGGGCCAAGUUGUAACUUGAAAGAAAACCCAAAGCUAAGAUGGUGAAUUGUAAAUAAAUACACACACACACACACACACACACACACACACACAGGCACAAAUAUAUUGAAGACUUUGUUUUUCUAGGCUGGGUUCUGGUAAAAGGGUUCAUGCUUGUAAUUCCUGCACUUUGGGAGGCUGAGGCGGGAAGAUCAUUAGAUUGCUGGAGUUUAGGCCAGGCUAGGCAACCUAGUGAGACCUUAUCUGUAUUAAAAAAAGAAAAGAAAAUUAACUGGGUGUGGUGGCAUGCACCUGUAGUCCCAACUACAGAGGAUGCUGAGGUGGGAGGAUCGCUUGAGCCCAGGAGUUUGAGGUUGCAGUGAACUAUGGUCAUGCUACUGUACUCCAGUCUGGGCAACAGAAUGAUACCCCAUUUCUUAAAGGAAAAGAUUUUGUUUUUCUAAAAAUGAAUUAUGGAUAUGAAACUCUUUUAGUUGGAAUUUUAUGUAUGAAUUUGAGAGGUCCAGAAAAUGAAAUAAAAUUAGACUUAUAUUGGAAAGGAUUAGAAUUCUAGCUCUUAACGCCUUUUUACUUUUUUUUUUUUUUUGGCCAAGUAAAAUGGCUAAUUAUACUGGGAACUGGAAACAGGUGGCUGUGUAUCUUAGUAAAUAAAGAACGAUGUUAACCUCUCCAGAAUGCUGGUGACUAUUGAGUUUGGCCAGAAAAUCCUAUAAAGGAGAAAGAGUUGCAGAGUGUAAUAAACUCCCAGAUGCUCGAUAAAAACCUCUGUUCCUCUUAUGCCGGCUGGUGAAGAUCAAGGGCGCCGCAGCAGAGCUGCUGAAGGCUCCUUACUGGUGUGAAGGUGAUGAGAUUUCUCUUCUGUUAUCUGUCUGAAUUACUUCUGGGCUUGACAGAGAUGGGAACUCUCAUUUGAUAGCAGUUCACAGACUUUGGAUAUCUUAUUUCCCUUAAGUUAAACUUACCAGUCUUCAUUUGCCAAAUAAUUUCCCCUUCUGGGAAGGGUGUGUGGCAAAUCUGACAAGCUUGUGUUCAGUUCUCUGCUGUUACUAUGAGGCUAGGGGACUUGGAGCAGGCAGCCUAGCCUCUCUGUGCCAUCUUUUCUUGCAUCUAGCAAUGGAAGAAAGGAAAACCAGCCUUUGUAGGGUUGUGAUGAAAGUGAAAUGAGAUGAUAAACACCAGGUACCUGGCAGGUGGUUUUACUGUCGCUGGUUUUCUCAAAACCUAAGGCAGAGUUGCUGAAACUCAGCACUAUUGACAUUUUGGGCUGGAUAAUUAUUUGUUAUUAUCCAAAGGUUAUUACCCAGCAUCUGGGAGGACCAUCCUGUUCAUCGUAGGGUGUUUAGUAACAUCUAUCCUAGAUGCCAGUAGCACACUCAUCCUCUUUGUAAUACCAGAGAUGUCUCAAGAGUAAUUUGUUUCUGACCACUGACAGAAGCCUACUUAAGAAAAGCUGACAGCUGAUGUCAGGUGUUUUCUUUGUUCAAAAAUGGUGUAGAACAGUACUUGGAGUGAAUGGGUGACUUCAAUUUAGUAAUUGUUUUUACAUUUAGUAAAGAAAUUAUGUAAUGGUAGUGUCUCCUCUCCCUUACCCCCCCAAUUCAUUUGAAUUAAUAAUUUAAAAAGUACUUUUAAAACUUAGACCCAGCCAUCUGUUCCUUCCUGUUGCCUUACAGCAGCAGUAAUUGCUUUAGGAUGGGCUUGGAAACAAGAGCGGAAAUGGUCUCCAGUGACCCCAAAUCAUAACAGAACUCGAAUCCUAAGAAAAACCACAAGUGGCUUAUGAAUAAGCUGAAAACUUAAAUGCCUCCUCAACAAUUUAAAUUUGGAUUGCAUAGCUUAUGGAUUUGGUGGGACAUUCUAACCUCGAUGUAUCUUUAACAUUUUCUGCUUUUAAGAUGCAAAGGCGUUAACAUAGGGAUGGAGAGAAAACUUCCUUCUAAGUUUUCCUAGAAAGUCUGGCACCUUUGACAUAGCUAUAACAGAAAGAAAAAUAUAUAUAUGUAUUUGAUACUGGUUCUAGAUAAUGCCAUUAAUUAGAUUUAAAAUGAUGCUUAUAGCAAGCAUAUGUACAACGUAAUAUGUUCCAGCUACGACUCUAAGCACUUUUCCCAUUUUAAUUCACUUGCUUCUCAGAACAGUUCUAUGAGGGAGGCUCUAUUAGGCCUGACUCAUGCUCGGCAUUUUGUACACGAGGAAACUAAAGCAAGGCAAAGUCGACUGCCCAGAAUUACCGGCUAAUAAAUGUCAGUCUUGCCUGGUGCUGCACACCUGCAGUCCCAGGUACUUAGGAGGCUGAGGUGGGAGGAUCUCUUGAGCCCAGGAGUUUGAAUCUAACUGGGAAACAUAGUGAGACUUUGUCUCUUUAAACAAAAUUUUUUUAAUUAAAAAAAAAAAAAAAGUCAGUCUGGCUACUAGUCUUUUAAGUCCAUUCUGCUGAUUCUAAGACUUGAUCCACAAGACCAGGGAUUGGCAAACCAUGGCCCAUGGGCAAACAUCUGGCCUACUGCCUAUUUUUUUGUAAAUAAAGUUUUAUUGGUCAAGGUGUAGGGGUGGGAAAAAAGUUUUAUUGGAAUAGAGCCCCUGCUAUUUGUUGACUUAUUGUCUAUGGCUGUUUUCUUGCUACAACAGUAGAAAUGAGUGUUUGCAACAGAGACCAUAUGGCUUGCCAAGCCUAAAAUAUUUACUGUCUGGCUGUUAGCAGAGUGAGUCUGCCUACCCAUACAGAAGACCAUUCUCAUCCAUAUGUAUAGUCCAGAAAGGUAGGAACAAAUUUUUAAAAAUCUUAAUUCCAUAUACUUUCAAAUAAGAUUGAGUUAAAACUCAUACAUUGAAGGUCCAAGUAUUUGGUGCCAUUCUCCAGUGUUAUGAUGAAUGUGAAAUCAUUUACAGGACACCCCUCUAUCAGGCAUUUGGGGGAAGAGAAAGGAACAGAUAAACAUGUGAAAAAUGGGAGAGUGUGUGAACUCUCUAUAGUACUCUAGAAAGCCCGGCUUUAACUCUGCAAAAUUUGAAAAUAGCAAUCUUAAACUUUCUGUUUUUCUCGCUGCUUUUCUGCAACAGCUUCAGAAUAGAAACUGACAGGCCCAUUUUAGUAGAAAGCAAACGGCAGUGUGUGGGUGGCGCCUUAUAACACAGCAACUCAAGGUUAGGUGGGGGGAGACCAAGAAUUGAGUUUCUUUUGUUAAAUCAGAAAUUAUGCAAAUUUUACAAAAAGUAUUAGAGGAAAUGUGUAAGGCUUUAAUUGGUUUUAUGGGUUUGUCGCUUUUUUUUAAAAAAGGUUACUUUGUGAACAUUACCCUCUGCUGAACAUGUAGACACUUCCUGAAGUUUAAUGAGAUCUCAGAGUAGAAUCACAACAAAUGUGACUCUCAGAUAUUUUCAAGAGAUGGUAUUAUCUUGGGCUGAAAGUAUGUUACACUAAGGCUGUCAUUUCUUAGGAGGAUUUACUCUACCACACAAGCUCCUCUAUCUGAAAUUAUGAUGAGCCCCAACAUAGAGCUUUUUGCUUAUACUAAAUUCAGAGAAUACUUAGUAUUUGCUAAAUCAGUGGUGGCCUACUUUUUAAAGCUCAUUUAUUACACUGAACUUUAGAUAAUAUAGAAAUGCUUUCUAAUUACAGUUUUGUCCCCUGGUAAAACUAACACUGUGCAUUGCGUUUGUAUUAUUGACAUUACCUUCUAGGGCCUUGAGUGAAGGAUGCUGAGCUGCGCUGCUCUCUAGGAUUGGUUAUUUUAAACUUUGAUUUUUGCUUGAGAGUGGACUAAGGUAGUGUAGUUAAAUAAAAAGUAUGAGCAGAAGUGUUUGUUUCAGGCAAGAUUUUUUCAGGGCCUCAUUUCCAGUGGGGUUGAUGGAUGAUUUUUGUGGCUUAGAGCUUGAGACAUUAUGAGUUGUUCACCGAGACCCAGAAUCAGGUCAGAGGACUGACUCCAAAUACUGUAAUGUGCUUGGAUGCUGGUACCGGUAUCAAGAGGCUCAGAGGAACAUUGGAUGUGUCUGUCCCUAGUAAUGACAGCACAGUCACAGCUGGUCUGUGGCUUAACAGUGUCUGCAGGGGCAUCCAUUCCCAUCCCUCUUACUCCUUCUUACUUCUCUUCCUAGACUUUACUGUCUCUGUUAAUUACAGUUCCAUUUCAGAUAGAGAGUUAAUUGAUUUAAGUUUAUGACUGGACCCCCGUGCCUGCAGUGUAUUGUUGAAUGAAUGGAUGUUUUGAUUUUUUCUUCUCCUUUGAAGCAAGGAAUUUACUGCUUGGAACUAUGCUGCACAGGUUUUUCUUAACGUUCUGUAGGAUACACAUUACUUUUUCUACUAUGUGUCUUUUAUUGCUGCAAAAGUCAGUUGUACUUGAGACAGUUUGGCACUGAGAGGGGAAUGUGGCAUAUCUUGGCACUGUGGACAGCUGGUUGGGUGUUGAUGUGGUGACAGGGAGGAGGGAAGGGCUCACAGACCAGACACGUGCUGCCUUUGAAUGCAGGUGGUGAUCAGUGUGCUUAGUCAUGUAGGGCUGCUCUUCGUGGAAGAGGUAGCUUGGUAGGGUGGUUGAGUUUCAGUACUGGAGUCGGCAGAACUAGACUUCUGUCCCCACCCUGGCUCACUAGCUGUUUGACAUUGGACACCUUGAUUCAAUCCCUUUGAACAUUAGUCUCCUUGUCUCUUUGAUGGGGAUAAAUAUCUGCUUCACACAUAGCCCUGUGGGAAGAUGUGAAAAGCCCAACUCUGGGUGUGUUAGGGGCAGAUAAAUGCUGAGUGUUAGCUUUCCUUUAGCCGAAUCUGAACUGAUUGAAUUGCAUUGGGACUCAGUUUGUAGUCAGUGACUUAUGUUCAAAAACUUGGGAAGACCCAGGAGGGGGUUGACUUAUCCCGAAAAAUCAGGUUCUUUUUGAAAAUGUGUUAAUUCUUUCAGGCCAGCAAGGUGUCAUCUAAGAAUGUCUGCCAGUAACUAGUUCCCAGGGAGUCUUAAAGAUGUCACUGUAGCUUUCAGACAUACCUGAGUUACUCUUAAGAGCACCUUGCCUUGUAGGAAUCCAUUUUGUGAUAUUUGUUUAAAUUAUGUCACAGCGCAUUGCAGACUUGUAAUCUGUUUUCAAAAUGGUAUUGUCUGCGCCCUUAUUGAUCAGCGCGACAUCUUUUACUUGCUUAUCUCUGCUUUCCAUAUGGUCAUACUCCAAAGCUAGACCUAGAGCAGACCCACUAACUCAUUAACCUCUCUGACACGAAAUAGAAACCUUCUAGAAGGGGACCAGCUAUGGGAGGCAGAGUUCUUAAAAUCUCUCGCAGUCCCCCGGCAUUUUCCUGAGCCUCCGGUUGUAGGUAUUAGACUGGGCGCGAGUUUUCACAACACGGGGAAUUUGUCAUGGUUGAGUCUGCUGUCGUUUGAAAUACUGCUUAGUUCUUUAAGAUAUAAUUAAGUAGAAUCGCAGAAAAGAGACCUUCGUUGGCAUUUUUUGUUUGUGUUGUGACUAUCGAAAUCCCUGCUCUCCGGAGGCUUGCCCUGACUUGGGGUGGGGAGUGUGACGUAGAGACACUGCGAAGCCGGAGCGAUCAGGUUAGGUGAGGCCAUGCUUAAGUUGGAUUCGUUGAAAAUAUGAUUCAAUUUGAGAACAUGGUAGUGCCCAUUUCCAAGCUGUCACAGAGUCCAGGAGAUGGGGAAUAAAAAAUCUUCGGCAUCUCUCGGGGAAGAUUAUUUUGUUUGAGGUCUUAGGACUUCUCCUGAUACUGUAUGAACUUUCUUUUUUUUUUUUUUUUUUUAAUUGAUCAUUCUUGGGUGUUUCUCGCAGAGGGGGAUUUGGCAGGGUCACAGGACAAUAGUGGAGGGAAGGUCAGCAGAUAAACAAGUGAACAAAGGUCUCUGGUUUUCCUAGGCAGAGGACCCUGCGGCCUUCUGCAGUGUUUGUGUCCCUGGGUACUUGAGACUAGGGAGUGGUGAUGACUCGUAAGGAGCAUGCUGCCUUCAAGCAUCUGUUUAACAAAGCACAUCUUGCACCGCCCUUAAUCCAUUCAACCCUGAGUGGAUAUAGCACAUGUUUCAGAGAGCACAGGGUUGGGGGUAAGGUCACAGAUCAACAGGAUCCCAAGGCAGAAGAAUUUUUCUUAGUACAGAACAAAAUGAAAAGUCUCCCAUGUCUACCUCUUUCUACACAGACACGGCAACCAUCCGAUUUCUCAAUCUUUUCCCCACCUUUCCCCCCUUUCUAUUCCACAAAACCGCCAUUGUCAUCAUGGCCCGUUCUCAAUGAGCUGUUGGGUACACCUCGCAGACGGGGUGGUGGCCGGGCAGAGGGGCUCCUCACUUCCCAGUAGGGGCGGCCGGGCAGAGGCGCCCCUCACCUCCUGGACGGGGCGGCUGGCCGGGCGGGGGGCUGACCCCCCCACCUCCCUCCCGGAUGGGGCGGCUGGCCGGGCAGAGGGGCUCCUCACUUCCCAGUAGGGGCGGCCGGGCAGAGGCGCCCCUCACCUCCCGGACUGGGCGGCUGGAUGGGCGGGGGGGGCUGAUCCCCCCACCUCCCUCCCGGACGAGGUGGCUGCUGGGCGGAGAUGCUCCUCACUUCCCAGACGGGGUGGCUGCUGGGCGGAGGGGCUCCUCACUUCUCAGACGGGGCGGUUGCCAGGCAGAGGGUCUCCUCACUUCUCAGACGGGGCGGCUGGGCAGAGACGCUCCUCACAUCCCGGACGGGGCAGCAGGGCAGAGGUGCUCCCCACAUCUCAGACGAUGGGCGGCCGGGCAGAGAUGCUCCUCACUUCCCAGAUGUGAUGGCGGCCGGGAAGAGGCGCUCCUCACUUCCUAGAUGGGAUGGCGGCCGGGCAGAGACGCUCCUCACUUUCCAGACUGGGCAGCCAGGCAGAGGGGCUCCUCACAUCCCAGACGAUGGGCGGCCAGGCGGAGACGCUCCUCACUUCCCAGACGGGGUGGCGGCCGGGCAGAGGCUGCAAUCUCGGCACUUUGGGAGGCCAAGGCAGGCUGCUGGGAGGUGGAGGUUGUAGCGAGCCGAGAUCACGCCACUGCACUCCAGCCUGGGCACCAUUGAGCACUGAGUGAAUGAGACUCCGUCUGCAAUCCCGGCACCUCGGGAGGCCGAGGCUGGCGGAUCACUCGCGGUUAGGAGCUGGAGACCAGCCCGGCCAACACAGCGAAACCCCGUCUCCACCAAAAAAAUAAGAAAACCAGUCAGGCAUGGCGGCGCCGCCUGCAAUUGCAGGCACUCGGCAGGCUGAGGCAGGAGAAUCAGGCAGGGAGGUUGCAGUGAGCCGAGAUGGCAGCAGUACCGUCCAGCUUCGGCUCGGCAUCAGAGGGAGACCGUGGAAAGAGAGGGAGAGGGAGACUGUGGGGAGAGGGAGAGGGAGAGGGAGAGGGAGAAGAGGGAGAGGGAGAGAGGGAGAGAGAGGGAGAGAGGGGGAGAGAGAGGGAGAGAGAGAGGGAGAGGGAGAGGGCUCUUAAGGGUCCAUCAUGUUUUGGAGUCUAAAAGUUGGGACCCGGUGUGGGGGCACAACACCUGCAAUCCUAGCACCUUGGGAGGCCAAGGCAGGAGGAUUCUUGAUUGGCCCAGGAGUUUGAGACCAGCCUGUGUGACAUGGUGAGACUGUCUCUGCAAAAUAUAAAAAAUUAGCUGGGUGUGGUGGUGCGUGCCCGUAGUCCUAGCUACUCGGAGAGACUGAGGUGGAGUGUAUCACUCGAGCCUGGGAAGUCGAGGCUGUAGUAAGUGGCGAUCGUGGCACCUGCACUCCAGCCUAGGCAACAGAGCGAUACUCUGUCUCAAAAUAAAAUGGAAGAAAAAAGAUAAAACAAAUAAAUAACAAGCUAUAAGUUGUCCCUGCAUGUAAAACAAAAAUUGUUCCUGCAUGUGAAUCACAGUCUUUGCGCUUUCUGGAAAGUAAUAGAAAUUUCUGUGGAUGAGCCACUUGGCAAAGGUUAUUUCUAAAACUCUGUGUUAGAGAUUUUUGGUAAAUAACAAAGAGCCUGAAUGGUCCCAUGGGAUAAAACACCAGCUCAAGACUUUACAAAGUGGGGCUCUCAUUGAGGUAGUUCUCAGUCUGCAAAAUGAAGAUGAUACACCUUAGAUGGUAUAUAUUUCAAUGCUAUUAUUAUUGAGAGCCAGUUUGGCAUUAGGCAUCACACUGAGUACAAAUUUAUUUCUACAUGUUCUUCUUUUAAAAUAUGGAAUUCUUUUAUUAUUGUUUGUACUAGUUUAUUAUUACUGUUUGUAUAAAUCUAUGCAAGUACAAGUGCAAUUGUGUUACAUGCAUAGAUUAUGGAGUGAUCAACUUGGGACUUUUAGGGUAUCCACCACCCGAGUAAUGUACCUUAUACCCAGUAAGUAAUUUCUUAUCAUCUAACCCCCUUUCUGACUAUUGAACUCUGAGCAACACUUGACUGGAUUGGGAGGAUUGGAGUAAGAAGAAUGUACAUUCCUUAUGUUAAGAUGUGGUAGGAAAUAGAAACUUGGCUUUGUCCAUAAAAACGUGUGAGUUCAUGUCCUUUUCAGGAACAUGGAUGAAGCUGGAAACCCUCAUUCUCAGCAAACUCAGGAACAGAAAACCAAACACUGCUUGUUGUCAUAAGUGGGAGUUGAACAAAGAGAAAACAUGGACACAUGGAGGGGAACAUCACACACUGGCGUCUUUGUGGGGUGGGUGGGGUAGGGGAGGGAUAGCAUUAGGAGAAAUACCUAACGUAGAUGACGGGUUGAUGGGUGCAGCAAACCACCAUGGCACGUGUAUACCUAUGUAACAAACCUGCACGUUCUGCACAUGUAUCCCAGAACAAGUAUAAUAAUAAUAAAAAAAAAAAAGAAACAUGGCUUUGCAUGAGAAAAGCCUAUUGAAUGUCUCAGAGAUGGACAUGUUAAUGUUGCCUUGAGUAGAAAGAUCUGGAUACUGAUCUCCAGCUCCCCGCUCUUUCAGUUUUGGAUUCUACUGUUACCUAAUGUGUUUAAAGCCAUAUUGGUUAGCAGGGAGUAGUGAUCCCAGCUACUCAGGAGGCUGAGGUGGGAGGAUUGCUUGAACCCAGGAGGUGGAGGCUGCAGUCAGCUGAGAUCGCCCCACUGCCCUCCAGCCUGGGCGAUAGAGUGAGACUCCAUCUCAAAAAAAAAAAAAAAAAAAAAAAAGCCAUAUUAGUACUCUAUAAAUACUCCAUUAAAAAAAGGUGGGAGGUAGGAGACGAUUCCCCAGUUGUCCAAAAAAUUCGAUUGAUGUGCUGCUGACUUCUGUUUGGUUUAGCAGAUGUUUGUUGAGCAGCUGUUUGUUGAAUUGGUUGAAAAUGAAUUAAAAAUAAUUUUAUCUUGACCUUUCUCUUUGUAACUUUAACAUCACCUCAUGAGGUAGCUGGAAAAGUCCUGGAAUGUCUUUCAAACUCUGGGUGGGAAUUACUGUUUACAAGUUGUCAGCCAGUGUCACUAGGUGAUAAUUCCCCUCUGUGUGAGUGUCAUGGUUACAGUAUGCUUUUUUGCCUCUAAAAGAACAAUUAUAUUCAAGAAAUUUCCUAGUGCAUUUAAAAACAGCUGGGUGAAAGUCAUUUUAAAUCCCCAAAUCCAACACAUUCGUUCUUUUGUGCAUUUAAUUAAGCAGAAGUUAAAAUAAAUUAGAACAGGAGACAUUCAGUGCUGAUUGUUGAAUCAACAAAGCAAGAAACAGCCUAGCAUUACCCUACCACAGAUGUCUGUCACUCAGUGCUGUUGCCCUAUAAAUUUCCAUCAACUCUUACCAUUUUUUGAAUAACAAUUUCUUUUCUAGUAAAAAUUGGCAUAUGAUGUAUAGCAAGCAAUAUUCUUUAUGCAAAUGAUAUUUCCAUAUAUCUCUAAUUUUUUCCCCUUAAUGAUACAUUUAUGUUGGUGGCUUGGAUAACUUUUCCGGAGGAUGGAGGAUGUGAGAUGGGUUAGGCUAGAAUGGUAAGGUUUAGGAAAAUAUAGAAAAAUAAGAUUUAGCAGUAAAUUUGGGUAUUAUUAGUGGAAGUCAUGGUUGAGGUUGUUUCAUUUAUGAUACUAAAUUAUUUUAAGGACAUGUUAAGUUUAAUUUGUCUUUAUAAUGCAAGUAAUAUAUGGUUCAUGAUAGAAAAAGUUGAUUAAAACAUAUCAGCCAGAAACUGAGUCCCGUAUUUUUCUCACCCACAGGUAUCACUGUUAGCAUUUCUAGGUAAACAGUCUUUUUUCCCCCUAUUAUGUAUGUACUUUUGGCUAUCUUUUAAUAACAGGAUUAUGCUUCCUAGGCAGUUGUAUGUCUUUUUUCUGCCAUUUAGUAGAAUAUCAUAAUUGAUAUGGUAUUUGAUGUUGGCUUCUAAAUAACCAAGGGGAGAGGUGAGGCCUAUGGCUAAUGUUUCAGCUGAAACAAGGUUAGCCCUAAGUUGAGGAUAGUUUUUGCAGAUGAGUAAUGAGGGUUUAUUAUACUGUUGCUUUUGCAUACAUUUUGAAUUAUCUUUCCUAAAUUUUUUUAAAGUGUUCAGUAAGCCAUAAACAUCUCCCCAGAUCUACACAUUCACACCAAUGCCAUUCUUAAGAGGCAUGUGUCAUUCCGUGGUAGCAUGGAUCAUAUUAAUAAUUGAACCAGUAUCCUAUUGUUAGAUACGUCUGUUCUCAGUUUUUUCGACCAUUCUUGGAAAUAGAGGAAAAUUUGUCCAGUCAUUUAUUUAAGAAGGCAUUUGUAAGUUAAAUUUUUAUUUAUUUUUCACUACCCAAGAAGGAAUCUGGAGUUACAGUAACAGAAGAUACUGGCUAGUAUUUCGCCUUAGUUAACAAAACAAUCAUGAAAAAUCUUUGUUUAGAAAGUUACUAAAGUCUAGGCGGGCACAGUGGCUCACGCCUGUAAUCCCAGCACUUUGGGAGGCUGAGGUGGGCAGAUCACGAGGUCAGGAGAUCGAGACCAUCCUGGCUAACACGGUGAAACCCCGUCUCUACUAAAAAUACAAAAUAUUAGCUGGGUGUGGUGGCGGGCACGUGAAAUCCCAGCUACUCGGGAGGCUGAGGCAGGAGAAUGGCGUGAACCUGGGAGGCAGAGCUUGCAGUGAGCUGAGAUUGCACCACUGCACUCCAGCCUGGGCGACAGAGCCAGACUCCAUCUCAAAAAAAAAAAAAAAAAAGAAAAUUACUAAAGUCUGUGAAAUUAGUACAUUUUCUGAAUACUUCACUGUAAUUCCAGUGAAUAUUUUACUUUCACACACACACAAACACACACACAAUUUAGUGUAUCAAGUAAUUUUUAUUGCCCGAUGUCUUGGCGCCUUGAUAUAUUUUAACGUGUUGCGGUUGCAUGUGACUCUUCCAAAGACAUCUAUCGGGAAAUGGAUAGUUAAUGCAUGGUGUGUAUCUCUCUGUUGUUUAUUUACCAUAAGUUACUAAUUCCCAUUUCUCAGCUGAGAGCUAUUAUAGGCCUUCCUCUCAUCAGGGAUAGUUGGAGCCAGAUAGGAUAGAGAUUGGGUAACUGUUGGAAUGUGGACCACCAAUUUCUUUUAUUGGCUUCCAUAGCUAGUUAGAUGGAGACUCCUGACCUGAGUGAGGAGUAUUAUCUGUCCUGUGAGCCUCCAGUUAGCCUGGGUAAAAACAAUACAUUAAGAAUCACUACCUCUUCUUAGCCAAGCAUGGUGGCUCAGGCCUGUAAUCCCAGCACUUUGGGAGGCUGAGGCGGGUGGAUCACAAGGUUAGGAGUUUGAGACCAACCUGGCCAAUAUGGUGAAACCCCAUCUCUACUAAAAAUAUAAAAAUUAGCUGGGCAUGGUGGCGGGCGCCUGUAGUCCCAGCUACUCGAGAGGCUGAGGCAGGAGAAUCGCUUGAACCCAGGAGGCAGAGGUUGCAGUGAGCCCAGAUCGCACCACUGCACUCCAGCGUGGGUGACAGAGCGAGACUCCGUCUCAAAAAAAAAAAAAAAAAAAAGAAUCACUACCUCUUCUUAUGUAUGUUUAGUGUGGGACAGGUGCUGUGUUAUACCUGGCACCUACCUUAAACAACUGAAUCUUUAUGAAGGCCAUCAGAGGCAGUCUCUCUUAUUCUUCCCACUUUACAUGUGAGGAAACGAGGCCUAGACAGUGAGAGAAACUAACUUGUUCAGUUAAAGUUGCACAGCUAGAUAUAGAUUUUUUGGACAUGUUAAUUAACCCUUUCAGUGGCUUGGAUCACGAUCCCAAUAAAUCAGUGAUGAAUUUUUGGUAGAUGUAUAUUUACUUAUUAAUUAUAAUGUGUGCAUAUAAAAGCCAUAGAUCUAGGCCUGUGAUUAAAACCUGCCCAUUGCUUAUGUGUCUAAAAGUUCCUUUUCUCUCUGUGCUGCAAUAGCUAAAUUUUGCCGAUUUUCUAUUUUCUGUUCUUACUUUGAUUUGGAACAAACCAAGCUUCAAAUGCACAGGGUCCCAGAGUGGUAGAGUGGCUUGCUUAUUUGAUAUAUUUUUUAAGCUAGUGAUUUCUGGAAAUCGGCAGCCCCUCUUGAUGUGGCACACCUAGACCAUAAGUCAGUUAUAAAGAGUCCUUAGGAGUGUUGGGCCGUGGAUGGGAGGGGAAGGGAAGUGACUGGUACAGUUUCAAAAGGUAGCUUGUGUACACCCCUUCCUCAUGAAUUAAAAUUUAUGAAAGCUGUUUGGGAAAUUCGAUACCCAGAGGUGCAGACACCACAUUUGGUAACACAACAUGCUGUGUGCAGAACUGGGGCAGAGUCCUGAUGUUGGGCAGAUGAGGAUGUUUUAUCAUCAUUAGACAAACAGUGCCGUGAAUGAGGGGCUGUGGCUGGGAUCAUCCAGCUCAGCUCGUGCUGUUUCCAGUCUCAUAAGCAAACCAAAGGCAUGCGUGUGGCUGCCCUCCCGCAAUCCAAAGGAAGAUGGAAGAUGAAUGGAAAAUGACUGUCGUUCUAAAAGACACUUGAAAACUAACAGCUGGGAAAACUGUUCUGAAUACUUGAAGGGGUAGCCCGACGGGUUUAAAAAAAUGAAGGAAGCGAUAGAUAUUCAUGUGUUGUCCAGGGAAGAAAUAGUCAACAUGUGUUUUACAAUGUCUGGCGUAGUUGUCUAGUCUUUACAAGUAGAGGUGUCUGAAUACACAGCAGGGGAGUCAAGAAUUCGGAGGAGUCGGGUGGGGCUGGAAUUGACGGGAACAACCUGAUGGUAUCUCCCCACAUUCCCUUCUUAUUUGGAAAGAAGUGCAGUCCAUUGUAGCUGUACCCUCUGUCUUUGCAUCUUUGAUUUCUCCAGCUCGGAGCAUCCCCAGACAAGAUGGCCUCAUCCCUGGUAAAAAGUUCCCUGGCCGAGAGAUCAACGUGAAUUUCCCAUCCUGGCUUCCAGGCGUCUCCGCUUGGCAUCUCACAUUUCUAGAAAAACAGCACCCAACCUACUUCCCAGACGUGUCAUAAUCAUGUCCCAUUUUGAUACUUAUUAUACAAAUAACCCCAAACACGUGUACUCUUUCUAUUGGUUGUUUGUCUAAAACUUUAUUUUUGUUCUCCAAAAGUAAAUGCCCAUUGUAAUACCCAAUAGUCUCUUUGAAUUUGCAUCCCCCAUACCUAAGUUUUGGGAGGCCUCCCAAUGCUCACCCCUCAUUAGUAUCUCUGUAUUAUGUGCAAUUUUUUUUUCCUUGAAAGCAUUUCUGCAAUAAUGGCUUUUUUUCCCCCCGUUAAGUGACGACAGUCAUCCUAAGUUAAGUUUAUUUGACUAGGAGAGGGAAGAAUAUUCACAAAGGGCACUGGUCUCACGUGAUUGAGAGACUGGUAGAAACAUGGCAAGAUUGGGCCACAGUCAAAUCAGAGUCUGGAAAGCUUGCUGCCUCAGGGAUGGCUGUACAUACAAACUCCCAAAUGAUACAUUAAUUGAUUUUGAUUAUAUGACUCCAAAGCUUGAGCAUUUCAAACUGUUUUCAAACUAAUGGCCAUCGCAUUUGGCAAGGAGCCCAACUGCGCAUUGGGUUCAUUAUAAAAGGAGAUCUUGACAGCCUGUCAGGAGGACAGAAUGCAUGCUAGGGUUUUGAGAAGUUGCUCAGUUUCAGAGGACUUGGUGGUGUUUUUCAUUAAAAGGUACCAGAAAUUUAGCAGCCCGACCAAGAGCCAGGCUUAUAAGUCACGGAAUGACCCUGGUCAGUACAUGCAGAACCUUAACAGUAUGAUCUUAAGAUAUCUCAUUAGAUUCCAGUGAAUAAGGCCAGGUACCGUGGCUCACGUCUGUAAUCCCAGCACUUUGGGAGGUCAAAGCUGGUGGAUCACUUGAGUCCAGGAGUUUGAGAACAGCCACCACAGUGGAACCCUGUCUCUACUAAGAAUACAAAAAAUUAGCUGGGUGUGGUGGUGCACGCCUGUAAUCCCAGCUACUCAGGAAGCUGAGGCACGAGAAUUACUUGAACCCGGGAGGUAGAAGUUGCAGUGAGCUGAGAUCAUGCCGUUGCACUGCAGCCUGGGCGACGAGCGAAACUCUGUCUCAAAAAACCAAAAAAACAGAAAAGCAAAAAAACCCCACAAUCCAGUGAGUAAGACCUCAGCCGGCCUGAGGUUCACAGGGUUUAAAUGGAAUGCAGUGGGAAGUAAAGAGUGAUCCCAAGGAGAAGUAAAAAUCUUGACACCUUACUCUCUUCGGCUUGUCCCACUUUUCUUCAACUGCCCCGCUACUGGAACAUUUUCUCUUUCUCAAUUUCGAUUGUCCCCUUAAGCAAUUUACUAAUUAGACAUUAAAACUUCCUAUUCUCUCAAUCCCAAAGCAAAACUGAUGAGCAGAGCAAACCAGAGCAGUUGGGCCAGAACAGAACAAAGACGUACCUGAUGCAGGGAAUUGAAGCCAGACCCAAAACGGGCAACCCAAUAGGAUGGCCAUCUGCCCCAUUAAUGCCAGCUUGUCCAAGUGUAAUUAUUAACAGUGCCCCCUUUCACUCUCCAAAGAGUCCCUGUCCAGACAGUUAAUUGUGAAGUCGCCUUCAGAUGGCUGGCGGUAAGGAAAGUAGAGUGAGGGAAGCAGGGUAGGUGGAGGUGUGAAAGGGAGAGGGCCUCAUCUCAGGGUGGCUGGACCUGCACCAGCAUCGGCCUGCAUGAAUGUGCUCCUACUCUUGCCCAGGCUGAGUAUCAAGAGAAGCAAGAAAUCUAGAUAAAAAUCCAAAUCCAGAAACAUCAGCGUUUUGAGGUUAACAUGUUGGCAAUUAUUCAGCUUUAUGAAAAAAAAAAAAAAAAACACAAAAAAACAGCAUGGGAGCCUGGCAAAAUAUGUGGGUGACCCUUGGCUACUUUUGAAUGAAGUUUUUCAUUCUGUCCUUCAAAAAAAAAAAUCAUACAAAAAAAAUAGGAGAUCAAGGGGGAAAAAAAAAAGAGGGCAUGGAAAAACCAGCCUCUGGUAUAGGCUUUCAGGGUAUAUUGGUGAGCAAACUUUUCCUAGAGCUGUUUCUGGUUAUCAGGUGUGGUACAGGUUGCAGGGAGGUGGGGAUGGGGAUGACUAGGGUCACAGCAGGCAAUAACUAGGGUUAUUGGCACCCGGUUGGUGUUUGGUGCCUGCUGUGUAACUUGCUGGGUGUUGGGAACCUGUAUAUGGCAUAUGCCAUGUGCACAGUGGGAUGUGUUUAAAAUGUGGGAGACAGGAGCUGUAUGGAAAUCAUUAUUUUCAAAUGCGGUCAUGGCUUUUAGGUUGUGAAUUUUUGUUCCUUUCCAAAACCGGUUUAGAUGAGCAGCUUUGCUUUUUAGUGAGAUUGAGUUAAUCUUAUAUCUUUAUGUUCUAAAAAAAAAAAAAAAAAAAAAAAGAAGAAGAAAGUAACAAUGUCCAAACUUCCCUGGAGCCAUUUCUGUCUCUGUGAAAUAGGCAAUUUAAGGUCCAUCCCAUCCUAAAAGCUUUUAGCUUGUGAAAAGCUUCUUUUCUUGCUUUUAAAACCUUCACUCUGCGUUUAGAAUAAAUGGCAUUCCUGGAUCUGUUAAAUAGGCAGUUAAUAAUGCCACAGAAACUACCCACCACACACCCAACCACAAAACUUGCUCAGAGGCAGGAUGUGUAUUGGAAUAUUCUGUAAUGAUCCAAUGCUGAAACAUUACAAUCAGCCUUGACCCUGCAAUCUGCAUUUUUAAUUGCAGCCUUCAUUUACAGUGGGGUAUUGGUCUGCUUUCAGUUUGUCCUGAAGGUUGACUGGAUCUCGUAAUCUAUUCAUGUCAGACUGCCUGCUAGGACCAGCAUGAAUUCAGCUCUUCAGAGGAAGCAUUGUCAUACAGAGAGGACUCGGCCGUUUGUUUCACCUUGAUAUAUUUCCCAAUAUAUGCUUCAUUCUCUGGGGUAGUUUUUAUUCCUCUUCUAUGAAAUGUGGAUUAUAAGGACUCAUGCCCCAUGGAAUUUCUAUAGGGUUUAGAUGAGAUAAUACAUGUAAAGUAUUUGAUAUGGGCAUGUAGGAAGCACCAAAUAAACAGUAGCCAUUAUGAUUUUUCUUGCUCUGGAUUUAACUUUUUUAAGCUCCUGAAUUUUGGAUUAGUAAUGUUGUUGACCAUGGAGGAAAAUUGAAAAAAGAUGUUGGCUUCAUUUUCUUGAUGACUGAAAAGUAAACUAGUGGCCGGGCGCAGUGGCUCACUCCUGUAAUCCCAGCACUUUGGGAGACUGAAGCUGGUGGAUCACUUAAGGUCAAGAGAUCGAGACCAGCCUGGCCAACAUAGUGAAAACUUUUCGCUACUAAAAAUACAAAAAUUAGCCAGGCGUGGGGUGCACACCUGUAAUCCCAACUAUAUGGGAGGCUGAGGCAGGAGAAUCACUUGAACCUGGGAGGCAGAGGUUGCAGUGAGCCGAGAUUGUGUGACUGCACUUGGGCCUGGGCCACAGAGCAAGACUCCUGUCUCAAAAAAAAAAAAAAAAAAGUGAACUGGUAAUGAGAAAUGAAUUUUGGAAAUAAUGGUGAACUGCAAACAUGGACUAUAAGUUAGACCAUAUUAUAUCAAUGUUAAAUUCUCUGAAUUUGAUAAUUCUACUAUGAUUAUAUACGAGAAUGUCUUUGUCUUAAGAAAUUCACUCGAGUAUUUGGGGUCCAAGGGGCAUGAUAUCUUCAAGCUAUUCUCAAAUGGUUGAGGAAUAAAUAUGUGCAUAGAGACUUAUAUAGCAGAUGCUGUUAAAUGUUGACAGUAAUGGGUAUGGGUGAUGGGGACAUAGGCAUUUGUUGUAAAGUUAAACAUAAAAAAGUUUUUAAUAAAGUGGGCCAGUGAGGAAAAAGGUAGCUGGUAACUUCAUUCUGUGUUUUUUCACUAGGUCAGAACUACUGGUUCAUUUAUCAUUUCUGUCCAAAGGUGGAUUUUUUCCAAUUAGUUUAUCUAUCCUGUUCUUCUUUCCCACCCCUCAAUUCUUGAUUCCUGGGGAUGGUUAUUUGAAAAGAACUUCCUUGCCCAGCUUUCAGUGACCCUGCUGUUUUGUUUCCAACUCCCAGUCAUAAUCCUUUGUUCAUGACAUUAUAAUCAUCACCACAAGUGGCUAAUUGUGAUGUCACAAAUGGAGGAUUAUGACUCAAAUGAGGAAUAAACAGCAGUGGCGGAUUAAUUCCUAAGCAACGAAGAAGAUUCUGUUUUGUGCAAAUGCCCCAGGGUAAUAAAAUUUAAAACCAGAAAAAGGCAAGGGGAAGACAAAGCUGAACAUAUGUGAUCUAUUAGCUAAAUUGUCCUUAAGUGGAAAGCUUUUCUUUCUCUCUUUCUUCCUUCCUUAAUUUUCCACGUGGUAUGAAUAGCUCCUCUAUGGUAGAUAAAUCGAUUUGGUUUUAGGCCUAACAAAGCUCAAGGUGUCUUGCUGACUAAUUACAGGGAUGUCACACCUGGGCUGAAAAGUGAGUCAUUAUGGAAUCUUUGAGGUGUUUUUAUUUUCCAUAAAGUUGAAUUGCUCUUUUCAGUCAGCAUUGCAAAAGUCAGGCUAUAAAGAUCAGCACAAUGGCCGAAGACAGCUGGGCUGAUAAUUGACGGCAGUCCCAACCUGGAAACUCUGGGUAAGGCCAGCAGAGCCGAAUGGCGUCAGUCACUCAGGACAGUUUUCUGAAUGGGUGAUAUGUAAAUGAGGCAGUGGUAACAGCUGUUGCUGUGGAUUGGCCUAGAAAUAGUAGUCAAUUCUCUGUGGAGGGUCAAUUUUCGAUUCUAAGUCAAGGAUGUGUUUUUUUCCCUUUUAGGAAAUAGGUGGUUCCCAUACUAUUCAGUUAACCAAGCAGCCAAAUCCCUCUCUACACUUAACAGCUCCCUCAUCCUUGGGGUUACUUGGCCGUCUCAGGAACACUCUUGAGUUUGUGGCCUUUUCUAAAACCAUGGUUGCAGUAGCCAAACUAAACUGGAAAUCCCUUUGAAUUGUUUUCCUUUUCAUGGGACAUAGUGUUCCUUUCUUCCGUUUGAUAUAUUUCGUUCUCUGUCGUGCUUGAGCUCUCUCUCGACUUAUGACUUCACCGUCACUUGAAUAUUGGAAGCCUUCUUGAAAAACAUUGGUGAAAGACUUGAGGCUACAGUUUGGCAUCAGCAGCAGAGCAAAUAAAACCACACUUUAAAAACUUGGUAAAUUUAGUUAUGAAGGAGACCUCCCAUUCGAGUCUAGGCGUUUAAUAAUAGCCUGUAUGCACAAAGUAGAAAUUAUGUGAUUAUCGUCUUGGGGCUGUGAUUAGAAUGUGUUGCUAUAUAUUGGUAACAUUUAGAAAUGUGUAACUUCAUCCCAGCUCCAUGGUACCGUAGGGCAAGCAUGACAUAAACAUGGUCUUGCAGUUGUACACUGGUUUGAGAUUCCCUGGAGACUAAACAGCUAUGAGGGAGUCAUGCUUCCGUUUGCCACUGUUGUCUCCUUUGUCUCGUAUAGGCUAUCAGAGAUGUUUCCUGGACUUUUAAGAGUAGCUCCAACAGAAGUUUUGCCUUCUGAGUAGUAAGGUGGUCACAACUUGUCCUGUUUCCCCUAUGGGAGUGUAUAUGCUGGUGGUGAUGGUGGGGGAUCUCACCUUUGUUUCCACAUCAGUAUGCUGCUGCCAGCUCCCCUCCAGGCUGUGCUGUCGGGACACAUCUGUGUGCCUGUAUGUGGCUCAUUAGGGAGCGGGUUGCCUGUUCUUUUGAGGUGAGCAUACAUUUUGAUUUUUCUUUUGGCAUCUUUUGGUUUGGAACAUUUACAGCCCUUUUUAAAAAUAUAGUCAUUUCUGUGUGGGUUUUCUCUGAGCCAGUAUUUGCCACACUCCAGUGAUAUUGAGAGAAACAAAGGGAACACGUCCAAGCCCAGAGGGGCUCUGUCUUAACAUCUGACAGGAGCUUCUAAGCCCAGUGUGGUUGUUACUGUGGGAAGUCGGGAAGUCCAUUACCCAAGGCUGUGGGAAACACAGGUCAUAAAAGCGGGGGCCUCUGAUCCUGGGGCAUUUACAGCUUAGUUUGGGAGCCAAAACUGGACCAUGUGAAACAGCUUAGAACAAUUGCAGAACCAAGAAUUAGCAAAUGUGGAUUAAUGUAGAUUAAAACUUGCCUGUGAGAUUCCAAGGUACUUGGAAAUCUGAGUUUUACAGUUGACUGGGAAAGGCUUCCUGGAGUAGUUGAGUUUGGGAACCAGGUUUUAAAUGAACCAAUAUGGGGUGGUGAAGAUGAUCGUGAUAUCUGUCACCAGAGACACCUCUGUGUGAAUCCCUUCCCUGCCAUUGACUGACCUUGGGACAAAUUAUUUAACCCAAGUCUAGUCUCCUGGAGAUGAGCCUUUGUUUCUCUCUCCCCAUCUCCCUCCCUCUCUCUGUUACUCCUCCUCCCGCUCUCCUUCUUUCUUUUCCCGCUCCUCCGCCUCUCUCAUUCUCUUUCUUAAGUACAAGACUGCCUACCUCCCUCAUCUGGUGGUUAUGAGGAUUAAACGAGAUAGUACAUUUAAAAAAUUGGGCAAUGUGCUUGCACUUACUAUGUUGAGAAUUUGGAAUUAUCAGUGGAGGCAGGAAGAGUUCAAGACAAGGAAACUGGCCUGUGCAAACAGGCGCACUGAUGGAGAAGGAAGACAUCAAAUGCCUUAUCGUGGAGGGCAAGUUAGUUUGGUUAGAAAGGAAGUCUGACCAGGGAGGAGAAGAGGGUUGGUUAAAAUUAAGAGUGUCCUUGAUGGUCCCAAUAGGGAUCUGACUACCUCAGGGAUGCAGAUACUGAGUUAGCAGUGCAAGGAAUUCAUUGGGGGUUAGUGCCUGUAGCAGAAGUAAAGGGAAGAAGCAGGAUUGGACAGGGAGAAUCUCAGAAUGUGCUGCAGAUCUGCCAUAGUGGACAGAAACAGGCAGACCCCAGUAGUACCCCUGACUCCUUGCAGCCCUUGGCUGGGGAAGAGCUUUGCCUUGACACAAAAGCUGCUUGGAACCUGAAGGUUCUUUGCAGCUGAGUAGCAAGUUCUUUGCUGAAGGGAGCUCCAAGUUGUACCCCUGCUAGGGCUAGCUAGAGAUACCUCCACUAUCUGUGUUGGGGUCCCUAUUCUGUCUUACUUCUGUCACAUGUAGUUUAUUUCCUACACAGCAUUUUAUCAUCAACUAUAAUAAAAAGGUAAUGAAAAUGUAUCCUGUUAGUCUCUGCCCCUAGAGUGUGGCCUUUGUCAGUGUAAUUGACUGCUGGCACAUUGAGGAGCACAGGAGAGGGCAUUUCCUGGCAACCUGGCAUAUAAUGGUGUCAGAUUUCUUAUUGCCGUGUUCUCUUUUGAGCUUGGAAAGAUUAGUUACCGCUUGUUGGGGUAUGAGUGGGAGCGCCGUGCUUCUGAACAUUUGCAAAGCAUCUGCCAGGACCCUGCACCGUGAGGAGCACUUGGUGCUCGUUACCUCAUUCCCGUGGUCUUGCGUGGGGAGGGACUUGUUUACAUUUGUUUUAGUACCGAGAUGCAUGCAUGUCCACUUGAUGGGUAAGGAAACUGAGUGUUAGAGAACUUAAAUAUUAAGGUUCUCUAGGACCACUUACCUCAGGAGUGGCAGAGAUGGGACCUCAGCUCUUUCUGCCCACUAAGCCUGUCAACUUAAUGGCUCUGCUGUCAUGUGACAGAUAGAGCUGGAGCUAGGGAAUGAAUGCAAAGAGAAUUUGGCCCAUACUAGCCCUCUGAUACUUACCAUUGUUCUCUGUGCCAGGGUUCAUGUUAGAACUGGCCUGUGCCGUGAGUAGUUGGUGAGACUGGGGGAAAUGAGUGGUCUUAGACGUCACUAUUGGGGACUUUAAAUGAGCACAGCUUCUGUGAAGGCGACUGGGCCAUGUCCAUCACAGUUAGAUUUGCCUAUACCCUUGGAUCAGGAAACUCUGCCCCCAGGUGUGUGCCCCACAGAUGUACUUGGCCACAGUGCAAAAUGACUCAUGUCAAGGUUAUUCCUUGCAUCAGUGUUUGGAUUUUGAAAGGAUUGGAAAUAACCUGACAGCCCAUUAAUAGGGGCUGUUUUAAUAAAUUAUACUAUGCUAAAUAAUGGCAUAUGUGCAGAUGUUACAAUCAGAGAAGCAUUGCCCUAUGAACAGAUACAUAUGUUUGUCUGUAUAUCGAAAUCUCUAUUUCCCUAGAUAGCCUUGUUAAUCAGGUGGGGGAAAAGCAGGGCGUACAACGGUAUUUAGUUAAAGCUACUUUUUUUAUGGGACACAUACAGGAUUAUCUUUAGCAUCAUGGUAUUAAUGGUUGGUGUUGUCUUGAGAGGUAUGGGGAAGAGGUGAGAUAAGGAGUCCAUGUUUUUAUACUUUGACUUUGAUUUAUAGAAUAUAUACAUACAUUAUCAGUUCAGAAAAUUAAAUUUAAUAAAGACAUCCCCAAAACCAGCCAACCAAAAAUGCAUCAACCGUUGACCACUGGGACUAGCAAAGAGAUCAGGUAGAGCUUACCAGUUAGACAAUACCUACCCUGAAAUGAAACCAAGUAUCUGUUCACUUCCAGCUGACAGGAAAAGACGUAGGAAAUCUUCACCAGAUUUGAAGGAAAUGUUUGGAAUGGUUUGACUUAAACAUCUUAUUAUCUGGCUUAUUUGGAAUUUUCUUUAGGGGGCCUUCAGUGACACCUCAAGUUGGUCCUUAGCCAUCCACCCUGGUGGGUGCCCAUAGAUUCAGAUAAGCAGUGGAGAGCAUGUGUGCUGCACUAGCCCUGUUCAGGGUAAUAGCCAGCAUGUAUUCAUACAACACUGGUUAAUGAUUCUUCCCGGCAGUCCUACUAGGGACUCCACCUUUGUCAAGGCCGUAAAUGGACUUUGGGGCUGUACAUUAAGAGACCUGGCCUGACUUGAUCUGGCUAAACAUGGCUUUGGGACCCUCUUGAAGUUUCCAGUUGAUAUUUUUUAUUCUUUUCAAACCAAAUCACUGCAGUGAAAAGAAAACAAAAAAAGGAGUUUUUAAAUUUAUACAAAAGUAUGAAAAAGAAUGAGAAGUUAGGAAAGUGUGAAUUAUAUUUUAAGUAAGGCUUUGUGGCUUUGUUGAUCAUGGAAAUCUUUUUAUUAACACAUUAGACAAAUUCUUUACAUGCCAGUUUGCAUUCACUUAAACAUUUGUGGGGGUGGUGUGUAAAAUGUGCAGCAAUACCUGCUCCUUUUUGGGAAAUCCAUUUGUUAAAUAGCCCUCAGAAUAUGACAGUUUUAUAGUAGGAUUAUGACUUUUUUUUGUUUCCAUGUCUGCUAAAAAGGCUAACAGAAUAGGACAAUUUAAUCACAUGCCAUUAUGUUCAUAGGGGUUUGGGAAGCUCAGACAUGUUUCUAGAAAAGGAAUCGCGUACCCAGCUUUUCCAAGUUUCUUAGCAAAAUUCGAUAAUUACUUGAUUUGGAGAUGUCCCCAUUCAGCCCCUUCUUCUGAGGGCAUCUGGCCUUCCUGAGUGUGGCUGACAUCACUUUCAUGACCUUGGCUCUGUUGAGGUGGUUGUCAGGGAAGGUGUGUUGCCAGAACUGUCCUGUCACUCUUCGACAGAGAGAGACAGAGAGACAUUUCCUGGACUAAUCCAUGUUUCCAGCCAGAUUUAUAUUAUUUACAGGGUAUUAGGCAAGGACCAGGAUUUAGCCAGGUGUUGCCCUGGAGAAUUGUUUCGGACCUCAAGUCAAAAAAAGGCUGCAUGCUGACUAGCGGAGGAAACAGCUCCCCACGGGCCAGCCUAGACUCUGUAUCCUGGCAUUUGUCAUCCCAGCUGGAGUUUUUUGAGGCAUCGGAGCUAGAAUAAAGCAGGAGCUCAUCAGAGGCUCUCUUUUCUCAGUCGCCUCCAUCUUUCCAGAGACUCAGAGGCCACCAGCUGUGGCAGCAGGUCUCAAGCUUUGUCGGUGAUUAGUUGCACGGCGGGGAAGGCUCUUCGCAUUUUCCUCUGUUCUGGGGCUCUCUGGUGGAUUGGAGCAGGCAAAUCGGGCUCCUCACUGAGCAGGAUGCAGGCAAGUCAGAGUGAAAGAAAGGAGCCAGUAUCCCCACCACCCGCUAGUGUUUUCCAUACCAAAGGACUUAACGCUUAUGUUUGCAAAAUUCAAUAGUCAGUACCCUUGUCAGCUGCUGCUUUAAAUUCUGUGUCCUUUGCCUGUUUCUGGGUCAUUGCCUAGUAAAUGGUAAACAUUGCCAUAUCCCAGCUUCCUUUUUCUGGGUUGCCUUGUGUGAGCCUUGUCAGUAGAAGAAGCUUAGAUAGGGCGGCUUGACCUUGGCUGACUUGCCAUAUUCUUGAACUGUCCUGCCCUGCUUCUCAAUGCAUCAGGGAAAAUAUCCUAACAUGUCUGGCGUGCCCUUUAACUUGACAGAGAGGGCAGAGGCUGAGGAAGUUUGGUGGUACGACUGCACUUGGUUAAGCAGCCAGUGCUGGCGAAACAGGCCUUACUUAGCCCAGGCAUUCUGACUGCCAUUUGAGGACUGUUUUUACUGUAAUAAUCCAUCACUCUGGACUUUAUGCUCUAGGAAUGAAAAUUGUAUUUACUAUUGGCCUAAGAAAAACAUAUUGCAAUUCAUAUUUGAAGCUGCUUAGCAAAGAUCCCUAACACCAGCCAGAAGUGAUUUGGCUAUUGGAAUUACCUGUUUUGGAGAGUGAUUCCUAUAACUGCUUCCCUAUCAUCAUCUGUAAUGGUUGAAGCUAUGUGUAUACAUUCACACGUUUACACACAAAACAAGAUAAUUUCUUUACUGGGUCUUAGCAAAAAGUCUAGAAGAAUUUUCAAUAAAACUGGAUGCAUAUUUAUGAUUGUCUGACUUAAAAUGUAGACUGUGUGGCAUGUAUGAAUUUCACUUUGGAGGGAACAGAGUCUUGAGCAAGCACCUCAAAUAAAUACAUAGGCCAUUACUCUCUGCUAUGGCAGCUGAAACUAAGAAACAGUGAGAGGGCUAUGUGGCUGCUUAUGUGGGAAGAUUUAAUUUCUGUUGUAGGAUGCUGAGGACCUUGGAAAUUGAGGCACUGAAGCUGAAGUGGCAAGGGCAAGUGUGAAUUGCAUCAGAUCUUUUUCUCUCAGGGUAAUUUCUUCAUAUCCCAGCUUCCUUUUUCUUUGGACACUGUCUCAACCAUCCCCUGGGUUUGGUGAUGCCAGACUUCCUUCUGGCAUUAUCCGCAACCGACAAUGGACUUUACUUGUUACGACAAUAUCACCAGCUUUCAUUGCAUGCGGCAGAUGGCCUGGAAUGCAGUUUGUCACUAUCACUUCUUGGAAAUGCAGAGGCCUCCUGGUUCUUCAAGGCCACUAAGCCCAGGAAGGGAGCAAGUGUGAGAUGGCAAAGACCCCCUAAGGAACAGCAUCAGAUCCCUUUCUGGGUGUUUGUUGCAGGGUGGCUCACUUGCUGCUUUUCUCCAGGAUAAAUGGCAAUUGCUUGAUGCUUGAUAGGGACGUAUUAAAUACAACGGCUGUCUCAGGACCCUGUCUGCCUUGUUUUUCAUCACCUGGACGUCUGAUACAUGCAAAGUGGAGGAAUUACUGCAAAGAGUGGAAGACAGGUUAAACAAACAUUCACCACAACUAACUGUUUAAGCUUAAGUCACUAAAACACUCAUUGUGUUUUUGCUCUGAAGGUCCAUGAAGGGAUAGAUUCGUCCAUCCUCCUUCUCCGUCAUCACACAUCAAGGCCAGGAUUGUGCCAUUUAUGGAUUCCACAUCCUAAGAGAAAACUGUUCACUCAGAUGGUUUCUGGUAGUGACUCCUCUUCUCUUUGAAAUGCCCUUCAAAGUAUUUAGCCAGAAACAAAGCUUUUUGGUUUUUGGGCUUGUGUCAGGCUUUUGCUAGAGAGUGAUUUUUUUUUUUCAAGGAAAUUAAUAGAUGAUACAGUCAAUGCUAGACAAUUUUAGAUCUCAGAGCUGUCUUCCUUGAAAGGUACAUUACUGUUUCUUUUACAUCUCUGAGAUGAGACUGCUCAGAGAAUGAUUGAUUUUGGGGUGAAUUGCUAUGUUUUUACAUAGACAAAAUAAAACCACAGAAUCCUUCAAUAGAGGAAAUAAAAUAUGGCACGCCAUCAAUGUGGAAUAUUAGGCACCCUCAAGUGUAAGUCUAUGUAUAUAUGACAUGGAAAAAUGUUUAAGAUGUGGUUGGGUGACUUUAAAACAAGUUGCAGUUUGGGCACAGUGCCUCAUGCCUUUAGUCCCAGCACUUUGAGAGGCUGAAGUGGGAGGAUUGCUUGAACCCAGGAGUUUGAGACCACCCUGGGCAACAUAGAGAGACCCCAUCUCUACAAAAAUAAUUAGCUGGGUGUGGUGGCACAUACCUGUAGUCCCAUCUACUCUGGAGGCUGAUACAAGAGGAUCGCUUAAGCCCAGGACAUAAAGGCUACAGUGAGUUGUGAUCACACCACUGCACUCCAGCCUGGGAGACAGAGGGAGACCCUGUCUCAAACAAACAAAAAACAAGUUGCAGAACAAUGUGCAAAAUGGAGUGUGAUCCUAUUUGUGCUUCAUAUAUAUGAGGAUCAGGACCAUCCUAAAUAUGUAUGUAUAUCUCUGUGUGUGUCUGUGUAAUUGCUUAGAAAAAUGACUAAAAUGGUAUGAAUCAAACUGUGUUCCUUCAGGCAACACUAGGGGGAAGUGGACAGAGGGUGACCAUUGCGUUUUGUGUACAUCUGUGUAUUGUCCUGAUCUCAUACAAUGAGAAAUAUUUAUACACUAUGGAUAAACAAAUUUUGGAAAAUAUCCCAGCAACGUUAGUAAUGCAACAGUGCUUUCCCUGGGGCCACCAUUUUGGUUCUCACCAAGAACAGAUGGUAGCAUCAAGUAUUUCAGUAAAAUUUUAAUAUCAUAAAAAGCAUAUGGGGCUUUCCUAAGGUCUGAGAGGCACAGUAUAAUCAUGUUAAAUAAAGAGGACUUACAUUUAA